rnacentral:rRNA from 1 species
AUGUUAUUAUAGAUAUUAUUUUUGUUUGUUUUGGUUGAUAAUUUUAUAUAAAUUAAUAUAUUGUUUUUGUAUAUGUUAUGGAUUAAAUUUUUUAAUUAUAGUUUAUUUUUACUGUAUGGGAUUUAUUUAUAUUUUUUAUAAGUAGAUAAAGUUGUAUUGUACCUUGUGUAUCAGGGUUUAUUAAAUUAUAUUAUUUAUUUUUAUUUCCCGAUUUUAAAAGAUUUAAGUAAUUAUUUUAGUUAUUGUUUUAUAAUUAUUAAUAAUAUUUACUUGGCAGUGAAAUGUUAUUCGAUUUUAAUGGUGUCUGGUUUUUCAAGAAAUGAAUUAAAUUCAUGUAUUAUUAAUUUAUAUUUCUAUUUUUAUUAGUAUAUAUUUUAUUGAUAUGAAUGUUAUGGGGGAUAAGCUCUUUAAUAUAGUGUUAUAAUUUUUUUAUUCUUAAUUUUUGUUGGUUUUAUAAUAACUAUCAAUUUGAGUUUGUUAAAAUUUUAUUUUAAUUGGGUUUUAUUUAUUUUUAUUUAACUAUUUUAUUGAAAUUUUUUAUUUAAUUAUUAUUUGUUUAUAAUUAUGAUAGAAUUAGUAAAUUUUUAUUUAUUUUUGUGUUUAUUUAUUAAAAUUUUAAAAGGAAUUAGGCAAAUCUAUUAUUCUCGCAUGUUUAUCAAAAACAUCUUUUCUUGUUUUAAUAUGAAGUAUAACCUGCCCAUUGAUUAGUUUAUUAAAAGGCCGCGGUAUUUUGACCGUGCAAAGGUAGCAUAAUCAUUAGUCUUUUAAUUGUGGACUGGAAUGAACGGUUGGACGAGGAAUAUACUGUUUCUUAUUUAUUUAUUUUGAAUUUAAUUUUUAAGUUAGAAAGCUUAAAUUUUUUUAUGGGACGAGAAGACCCUAUAGAGUUUAAUACUUUAAAUAUUUAAAGUAUUAGUUUGGUUUAAUUUUUUAGUAUUUAAUAUAUUUUGUUGGGGUGAUGGAAAGAAUUAAGUAACUCUUUUUAUUAUUAUACAUUUAUUUAUGAUAUAUUGAUCCAUUUUUGUUGAUUAUAAGAUUAAAUUACCUUAGGGAUAACAGCGUAAUCUUUUUUAAGAGUUCUUAUCAAUAAAAGGGUUUGCGACCUCGAUGUUGGAUUAAGAUUUAAUUUGGGUGUAGAAUUUCAAUAUGUUUAGGUCUGUUCGACCUUUAAAAUCUUACAUGAUCUGAGUUCAGACCGGCGUGAGCCAGGUUGGUUUCUAUCUAUAAUUUAUUUUAUAUCUUAGUACGAGAGGACCAGAUAUUUUAAAUAAUUUUUGUUUUUUGAAUAUUAUUAAAUUUUA